rnacentral:lncRNA from 1 species
CGCCAUGUUGCCUGUUUCUUUACUGUACACAUGGUGACAAAGAAAAGCGAAGAUGGAGCCUCCAUGUUGAACCUACCUGGCCCCCAGCACUACUGGCAAGCAAAGUGUUCACUGAUGAAUGAACAAUUACAUUUACCCACAGACUGAAAUAUGAUGUUAUUUUGUUUUGACUGAAAUUCCAACUCACUGUGAGAAUACUGAAUGAAGAAGAGUGCCCUUCCAUGAACACAUGUGCUGGAGACGUGUUGAAUUUCUUCCCCCUCAGCAUAAUCAGAGGAGGUGACCCCAAGCACCUUAGAGACCAUGGGAAGUUCCUAAUGCCGGCCUGAUGCAGAUUCUCUUCUCCACGGAGCACCAUGGCCGCUGGGCUCUGCCUUCCACACAGAACGAUGUGUACUUGAAAACAGUACACUCUUGCACAGCUGUCCCUGGAGCUUCCCCGUGGAGCUGUUAAACUUGCCCUCCGCUGGCUGUUUUCCACAAAGUAAUAUGGUUACAUAGAUUCACGGCUCAUGGCAAUGUUUCAUUAAGACAGUUCUUGAUGGCCGCUCCACACCUUUCUCACCACAUCUCACAGGCUGCCCUGCUGAGCCAGGUCUCCCUGGAACCCGGGGCUCCUGCGCAGGCCCCCAUUUUGCUCCAGAACACCCAGGAAGGCGGGGCUUGGGCUGGAAUGGGGACACCGAUUACCCUCUGUUCAGGCCUUUGGUGCCAGCUGAGGUCGAUACUGGUGCCAGGAUCGAGACUGUGCGCAUCCCAUCGAGAGCGGGCAGAUGUGGGGGCGCACUGGACCGGGCCUCCCAGGCUGACACCCAUUCACAGCAGCCUGAGCCUAAUCCGCCACUGCUCGCCUUCCUCCGACGUCUCCACCUAAACCAUCCUUCUGCACAUUGUGACCCAUCACUCCGCCCUUUGUCCACACAUCUCCUUCCCCACACCCACAACGCGGUGGUCCCUGCCCCACAAUGCAACGGAAACCUUGCGGAGUGCUAGGCGGAAGCUGCGAGGCCUGUGUAGACACUGCCUCCGCAGGGCUGGCGCACUCCUCCGAGGGCCGACUGAGGGGUGGGUUUUUUAAGUUGCAAAAUAAAAGUUAUCGCCUGUGGGCCCUGAAGGCCUCUUUUCCACUGGAUGACAGGAAUGUGUUUGUUCAGAGAUUGUAGUCUCCCUGAACUGGAAGGGACUUUAGA